rnacentral:rRNA from 1 species
UAAGCGAAUAGUGAAAUCUGGUGGCUCAACCAUACAGGCUAUUAUUCGAACUGGCUAACUCGAGAAUGGUAGAGGUAACUGGAAUUUCCUGUGUAGGAGUGAAAUCCGUAGAUAUAAGAAGGAACACCAAUGGCGUAGGCAGGUUACUGGACCAUUUCUGACGCUAAGGCACGAAAGCGUGGGGAGCGAACAGGAUUAGAUACCCUGGUAGUCCGCGCCCUAAACGAUGCGAACUG